rnacentral:snRNA from 1 species
GUGUUUGCUCUGGCAGCACACACACUAUAUCGGGAACUAUUCAGAGAUUAGCAUGGCUGCUACACAAGGAUGACACACAACAGUUGAUGUUAUUAAAAACAGGU